rfam:Bacillus sp. FJAT-27997 Scaffold1, whole genome shotgun sequence.
GAUCUGAUAGUUCAGUGGGAGAAUACGUCCUUGACAGGGACGGGGUCGGGGGUUCGAAUCCCUCUCAGAUCA